rnacentral:rRNA from 1 species
UACGUAGGGUGCGAGCGUUGUCCGGAAUUAUUGGGCGUAAAGGGCUCGUAGGCGGUUUGUCGCGUCUGCUGUGAAAACCUAAGGCUCAACCUUGGGCUUGCAGUGGGUACGGGCAGACUAGAGUGCGGUAGGGGUGACUGGAAUUCCUGGUGUAGCGGUGGAAUGCGCAGAUAUCAGGAAGAACACCCGUGGCGAAGGCGGCUCUCUGGGACGGUACUGACGCUGAGACGCGAAAGCGUGGGGAGCGAACAGG